GUGAAGCGGCAACAGCUCAAAUUUGAAAUCUGGCGCCCCUGGGCGUCCGAGUUGUAAUUUGCAGAGGAUGCUUCGGGAUCGGCGCUGCCCCAGGUUCUUUGGAACAGGACGCCAUAGAGGGUGAGAGCCCCGUCUCUGGGCGGCAGCCGAAACCGUGUGAAGCGCCUUCGACGAGUCGAGUUGUUUGGGAAUGCAGCUCAAAACGGGAGGUAAAUUUCUUCCAAGGCUAAAUACAGGCCGGAGACCGAUAGCGCACAAGUAGAGUGAUCGAAAGAUGAAAAGUACUUUGGAAAGAGAGUCAAACAGCGCGUGAAAUUGUUGAAAGGGAAGCGCUUGCAGUCAGACUUGGCCGCCCGGUUCGGCGGGGCCUCGCGCCCCGUCUCCGCCGUGGCGGUCAGGCCAGCAUUGGUUCGGGCGACCGGAGAAAGGCUGCGGGAAUGUGGCUCCUCUCGGGGAGUGUUAUAGCCCGCGGCAGAAUACGGCCAGCCCGGACCAAGGAACGCGCUUCGGCUCGGAUGCUGGCGUAAUGGCUGCAAGCGGCCCGUCUUGAAACACGGACCAAGGAGUCUAACAUCUGUGCGAGUGUUUGGGUGUCAAGCCCUUACGCGCAAUGAAAGUGAACGGAGGUGGGAGCCCUCGGGCGCACCAUCGACCGAUCCUGAUGUCUUCGGAAGGAUUUGAGUAAGAGCACAGCUGUUGGGACCCGAAAGAUGGUGAACUAUGCCUAAGCAGGGUGAAGCCAGAGGAAACUCUGGUGGAGGCUCGCAGCGGUUCUGACGUGCAAAUCGAU
rnacentral:rRNA from 1 species